GAUUAGAUACCCUGGUAGUCCACGCUGUAAACGAUGUCGAUUUGGAGUUUGUUGCCUAGAGUGAUGGGCUCCGAAGCUAACGCGAUAAAUCGACCGCCUGGGGAGUACGGCCGCAAGGUUAAAACUCAAAUGAAUUGACGGGGGCCCGCACAAGCGGUGGAGCAUGUGGUUUAAUUCGAUGCAACGCGAAGAACCUUACCUGGUCUUGACAUCCAUAGAAUUCUGCAGAGAUGUGGGAGUGCCUUCGGGAACUAUGAGACAGGUGCUGCAUGGCUGUCGUCAGCUCGUGUUGUGAAAUGUUGGGUUAAGUCCCGCAACGAGCGCAACCCUUAUUCUUUGUUGCCAGCGAUUUGGUCGGGAACUCAAAGGAGACUGCCGUUGAUAAAGCGGAGGAAGGUGGGGACGACGUCAAGUCAUCAUGGCCUUUACGACCAGGGCUACACACGUGCUACAAUGGCGUAUACAAAGGGAAGCGAAGGUGCGAGCUGGAGCGGAUCUCAUAAAGUACGUCUAAGUUCGGAUUGGAGUCUGCAACUCGACUCCAUGAAGUCGGAAUCGCUAGUAAUCGUAGAUCAGAAUGCUACGGUGAAUACGUUCCCGGGCCUUGUACACACCGCCCGUCACACCAUGGGAGUGGGUUGCACCAGAAGUAGAUAGCUUAACCGCGAGGGGGGCGUUUACCACGGUGUGAUUCAUGACUGGGGUGAAGUCGUAACAAGGUAACCA
rnacentral:rRNA from 1 species